AAGAGAGAGAGAGAGAGAAGCUCCAUUUAGGUGGUUUCUUCAAAUUUGUUCAAUCAGGUAAUGUAGCAAGCAUGGUCCACAGGAUGCAAAGUACAAAUAAUGCAAUUUUUACAUUAUUCUAAGUUUUCUAACAUAAUGCUAACUAUCACAAUCCAUUGUACAUAUUAGUACUUGUUCCUAUUAAAUGACAAUAAGUAUUUCAUUUUCUUUGAUUUGUGGAUGUUUUAAGUUCGAACUUCCAGGGGUG
rnacentral:misc_RNA from 1 species